rnacentral:rRNA from 1 species
AGCGAACGCUGGCGGCAGGCUUAACACAUGCAAGUCGAGCGGGCCCUUCGGGGUCAGCGGCGGACGGGUGAGUAACGCGUGGGAACGUGCCCUCUGGUUCGGAAUAACUCAGGGAAACUUGAGCUAAUACCGGAUACGCCCUUUUUGGGGAAAGGCUUGCUGCCGGAGGAUCGGCCCGCGUCUGAUUAGCUAGUUGGUGGGGUAACGGCCUACCAAGGCGACGAUCAGUAGCUGGUCUGAGAGGAUGAUCAGCCACACUGGGACUGAGACACGGCCCAGACUCCUACGGGAGGCAGCAGUGGGGAAUAUUGGACAAUGGGGGCAACCCUGAUCCAGCCAUGCCGCGUGAGUGAUGAAGGCCUUAGGGUUGUAAAGCUCUUUUAUCCGGGACGAUAAUGACGGUACCGGAGGAAUAAGCCCCGGCUAACUUCGUGCCAGCCGCCGCAGUAACAC